rnacentral:ncRNA from 1 species
AGGGUGGAAUCCGAAAAACCCAUACCAAUCGAGUAGGAA